rnacentral:rRNA from 1 species
GGUUGAUCCUGCCAGUAGUCAUAUGCUUGUCUCAAAGAUUAAGCCAUGCAUGUCUAAGUAAAAGCAAAUUUUUACAGCGAAACUGCGAAUGGCUCAUUAAAUCAGUUAUGAUCUACAUGACAAAUACUUUACUACUGGAUAACCGUGGUAAUUCUAGAGCUAAUACAUGCAGAAAAGGCCUGACUUCGGGAGGGCUGCACUUAUUAGAUCAAAACCAUCCUGGGUAAAACCAGUUCUAUGGUGAUUCAUAAUAAUUAAGCUGAUCGCAUGGCCUUGCGCCGGCGACGGUACAU